GGGGAUGAAAGGAUUUCGACGGGGACUUUGAUCCUAUGUAAGCGAGCAGCGGUGCGGGACCGCUAUAAAAUCCGCAAGCUUAAAAUUAAACGACAACAAUACUGUUGAAUUAGCUGCUGCUUAAAGCAGCUCGUCCUAGCCGGGAGUACCGCGGCUCGGUGAAGGGCGUCGAUUAGCGGUGAACGUGAACGGAGGAGUAGCCUUGCAAUCCGUCAUGAAUAAAAGGAUACCGAAGCGGUGAGCCUGACGAUCGGCGCGCCGACGGGGGAAGCUUAAAAGACCGCCUACGCUCGUAGAAAGCAUAGAGGAGGGGUUUUCGGACGCGGUUUCGAUUACCGCCAUCUCCACCA
rnacentral:tmRNA from 1 species